rnacentral:rRNA from 1 species
UACUCGAGUGGCGAACGGGUGAGUAACACGUGGGUGAUCUGCCCUGCACUUCGGGAUAAGCCUGGGAAACUGGGUCUAAUACCGGAUAGGAGCCAUUUUUAGUGUGAUGGUUGGAAAGUUUUUUCGGUGUAGGAUGAGCUCGCGGCCUAUCGGCUUGUUGGUGGGGUAAUGGCCUACCAAGGCGGCGACGGGUAGCCGGCCUGAGAGGGUGGACGGCCACAUUGGGACUGAGAUACGGCCCAG